AAAGUGUUUGUUGCUCGAAAUGGU
rnacentral:siRNA from 1 species